rnacentral:rRNA from 1 species
GACGAACGCUGGCGGCGUGCUUAACACAUGCAAGUCGAGCGGAGCGGCGAACGGGUGAGUAACGCGUGAGUAACUGCCCCCCUCUCUGGGAUAACAGUUGGAAACGGCUGCUAAUACCGGAAAGUGGGGGAUGACUCGCGUCCUAUCAGCUUGUUGGUGGGGUAGUGGCCUACCAAGGCGACGACGGGUAGCCGGCCUGGGGGGGCGACCGGCCCCAUUGGUCUACGAUACGGCGCAAACUCCAACGGGAGGCAAGAGUGGGGAAUAUUGCACAGUGGGGGAAACCCAGAUGCGGCGGCGCCGCGUGCGGGAUGCCCGCCUUCGGGUUGUAAACCGCUUUCAGCCAUGACGCGGUAGUUGCAGAAAAAGCACCGGCUAACUACGUGCCAGCCGCCGCGGUAAUUC